GUGGGGAAUAUUGGACAAUGGGGGGAACCCUGAUCCAGCCAUGCCGCGUGUGUGAAGAAGGCCUUUUGGUUGUAAAGCACUUUAAGCGAGGAGGAGGCUCUUCUAGUUAAUACCUAGGAUGAGUGGACGUUACUCGCAGAAUAAGCACCGGCUAACUCUGUGCCAGCAGCCGCGGUAAUACAGAGGGUGCGAGCGUUAAUCGGAUUUACUGGGCGUAAAGCGUACGUAGGCGGCUUUUUAAGUCGGAUGUGAAAUCCCUGAGCUUAACUUAGGAAUUGCAUUCGAUACUGGGAAGCUAGAGUAUGGGAGAGGAUGGUAGAAUUCCAGGUGUAGCGGUGAAAUGCGUAGAGAUCUGGAGGAAUACCGAUGGCGAAGGCAGCCAUCUGGCCUAAUACUGACGCUGAGGUACGAAAGCAUGGGGAGCAAACAGGAUUAGAUACCCUGGUAGUCC
rnacentral:rRNA from 1 species